rnacentral:rRNA from 1 species
AUUGAACGCUGGCGGCAGGCCUAACACAUGCAAGUCGAGCGAGCGGCGGAUGGGUGAGUAAUGUCUGGGAAACUGCCUGAUGGAGGGGGAUAACUACUGGAAACGGUAGCUAAUACCGCAUACCAUCAGAUGUGCCCAGAUGGGAUUAGCUGGUGGGUGGGGUAACGGCUCACCUAGGCGACGAUCCCUAGCUGGUCUGAGAGGUUGACCAGCAACACGGGAACUGUGACACGGUCCAGACUCCUACGGGGGGCGGAAGUGGGAAAUAUUGGACAAGGGGCGCAAGCCUGAUGCAGCCAUGCCGGGUGUGUGAAGAAGGCCUUCGGGUUGUAAAGCACUUUCAGCGGGGAGGCGUUACCCGCAGAAGAAGCACCGGCUAACUCCGUGCCAGCAGCCGCGGUAAUAC